UGAGGAAUAUUGGUCAAUGGGCGAGAGCCUGAACCAGCCAAGUAGCGUGCAGGAUGACGGCCCUAUGGGUUGUAAACUGCUUUUAUGUGGGGAUAAAGUGCGUGACGUGUCAUGCAUUGCGGGUACCACAUGAAUAAGGACCGGCUAAUUCCGUGCCAGCAGCCGCGGUAAUACGGAAGGUCCGGGCGUUAUCCGGAUUUAUUGGGUUUAAAGGGAGCGUAGGCUGUCUAUUAAGCGUGUUGUGAAAUUUACCGGCUCAACCGGUGGCUUGCAGCGCGAACUGGUCGACUUGAGUAUGCAGGAAGUAGGCGGAAUUCAUGGUGUAGCGGUGAAAUGCUUAGAUAUCAUGACGAACUCCGAUUGCGCAGGCAGCUUACUGUAGCAUAACUGACGCUGAUGCUCGAAAGUGCGGGUAUCAAACAGG
rnacentral:rRNA from 1 species